AUUACAGAAAGAGGCUGCCUGAGAUAUGUGAACCGUUUCUUCCUGGUAUUCGUGAAAUUGUCAAUGGUGACAUACCCUAUGCAGAAGUUGUGGCAAAGAUUCUGACCCCUGACAGGGUUCAAGAUUGUAAUCCCUUCGAGGGGUUGUCGGAUGAUGUGGUAAAGAAGAUAAAGGAUGUUGCAGCAAACAAUGCAG